UGCCGCGUGAGUGAAGAAGGCCUUCGGGUUGUAAAGCUCUUUUGUCAGGGAAGAAAAGGUUACGGCUAAUAUCCGUGGCUCAUGACGGUACCUGAAGAAUAAGCACCGGCUAACUACGUGCCAGCAGCCGCGGUAAUACGUAGGGUGCAAGCGUUAAUCGGAAUUACUGGGCGUAAAGCGUGCGCAGGCGGUUUUGUAAGACUGUCGUGAAAUCCCCGGGCUCAACCUGGGAAUGGCGAUGGUGACUGCAAGGCUAGAGUUUGGCAGAGGGGGGUAGAAUUCCACGUGUAGCAGUGAAAUGCGUAGAUAUGUGGAGGAACACCGAUGGCGAAGGCAGCCCCCUGGGUCAAAACUGACGCUCAUGCACGAAAGCGUGGGGAGCAAACAGGAUUAGAUACCCUGGUAGUCCACGCCCUAAACGAUGUCUACUAGUUGUCGGGUCUUAAUUGACUUGGUAACGCAGCUAACGCGUGAAGUAGACCGCCUGGGGAGUACGGUCGCAAGAUUAAAACUCAAAGGAAUUGACGGGGACCCGCACAAGCGGUGGAUGAUGUGGAUUAAUUCGAUGCAACGCGAAAAACCUUACCUACCCUUGACAUGGCAGGAAUCCUGGAGAGAUCU
rnacentral:rRNA from 1 species